rnacentral:rRNA from 1 species
UACGUAGGUGGCAAGCGUUGUCCGGAUUGACUGGGCGUAAAGCGCACGCAGGCGGAUGCGCGCGUGGGGUGUGAAAUCUGGCCGCUUAACGGCCAGGCGCCAUCCCAUACGGCGCGUCUGGAGUGAUGCAGAGGUCGGUGGAAUUGCCGGUGUAGUGGUGAAAUGCGUAGAGAUCGGCAGGAACACCCAGGGGGAAACCAGCCGACUGGGCAUCUACUGACGCUGAGGUGCGAGAGCGUGGGGAGCGAACCGG